rnacentral:rRNA from 1 species
CUUGCUUCUCUUGAGAGCGGCGGACGGGUGAGUAAUGCCUAGGAAUCUGCCUGGUAGUGGGGGAUAACGUUCGGAAACGGACGCUAAUACCGCAUACGUCCUACGGGAGAAAGCAGGGGACCUUCGGGCCUUGCGCUAUCAGAUGAGCCUAGGUCGGAUUAGCUAGUUGGUGGGGUAAUGGCUCACCAAGGCGACGAUCCGUAACUGGUCUGAGAGGAUGAUCAGUCACACUGGAACUGAGACACGGUCCAGACUCCUACGGGAGGCAGCAGUGGGGAAUAUUGGACAAUGGGCGAAAGCCUGAUCCAGCCAUGCCGCGUGUGUGAAGAAGGUCUUCGGAUUGUAAAGCACUUUAAGUUGGGAGGAAGGGUUGUAGAUUAAUACUCUGCAAUUUUGACGUUACCGACAGAAUAAGCACCGGCUAACUCUGUGCCAGCAGCCGCGGUAAUACAGAGGGUGCAAGCGUUAAUCGGAAUUACUGGGCGUAAAGCGCGCGUAGGUGGUUUGUUAAGUUGGAUGUGAAAUCCCCGGGCUCAACCUGGGAACUGCAUUCAAAACUGACUGACUAGAGUAUGGUAGAGGGUGGUGGAAUUUCCUGUGUAGCGGUGAAAUGCGUAGAUAUAGGAAGGAACACCAGUGGCGAAGGCGACCACCUGGACUAAUACUGACACUGAGGUGCGAAAGCGUGGGG